GACGAACCGUGCGAACGUUGUUCGGAAUCACUGGGCUUAAAGGGCGCGUAGGCGGGUCAGCAAGUCAGGGGUGAAAGCCCACGGCUCAACCGUGGAAGUGCCUUUGAUACUGCUGGUCUUGAGGGAGGUAGGGGCGUGCGGAACUUCCGGUGGAGCGGUGAAAUGCGUAGAUAUCGGAAGGAACACCGGUGGCGAAAGCGGCGCGCUGGAUCUCUACUGACGCUGAGGCGCGAAAGCCAGGGGAGCAAACGGG
rnacentral:rRNA from 1 species